GACGGUACCUGCAGAAGAAGCACCGGCUAACUAUGUGCCAGCAGCCGCGGUAAUACAUAGGGUGCAAGCGUUGUCCGGAAUUAUUGGGCGUAAAGAGCUCGUAGGUGGUUCGUCACGUCGGAUGUGAAACUCUGGGGCUCAACCCCAGACCUGCAUUCGAUACGGGCGAGCUUGAGUAUGGUAGGGGAGACUGGAAUUCCUGGUGUAGCGGUGGAAUGCGCAGAUAUCAGGAGGAACACCAAUGGCGAAGGCAGGUCUCUGGGCCAUUACUGACACUGAGGAGCGAAAGCGUGGGGAGCGAACAGGAUUAGAUACCCUGGUAGUCCACGCCGUAAACGGUGGGCACUAGUUGUGGGGACCUUCCACGGUCUCUGCGACGCAGCUAACGCAUUAAGUGCCCCGCCUGGGGAGUACGAUCGCAAGAUUAAAACUC
rnacentral:rRNA from 1 species